GCUUAACACAUGCAAGUCGAGCGGUAAGGCCCUUCGGGGUACACGAGCGGCGAACGGGUGAGUAACACGUGGGUGAUCUGCCUUGCACUCUGGGAUAAGCCUGGGAAACUGGGUCUAAUACCGGAUAUGAGCCUGGACUGCAUGGUCUGGGUUGGAAAGGUUUACUGGUGCGAGAUGGGCCCGCGGCCUAUCAGCUUGUUGGUGGGGUAACGGCCUACCAAGGCGACGACGGGUAGCCGACCUGAGAGGGUGACCGGCCACACUGGGACUGAGACACGGCCCAGACUCCUACGGGAGGCAGCAGUGGGGAAUAUUGCACAAUGGGCGAAAGCCUGAUGCAGCGACGCCGCGUGAGGGAUGACGGCCUUCGGGUUGUAAACCUCUUUUGACAGGGACGAAGCGCAAGUGACGGUACCUGUAGAAGAAGCACCGGCCAACUACGUGCCAGCAGCCGCGGUAAUACGUAGGGUGCGAGCGUUGUCCGGAAUUACUGGGCGUAAAGAGCUUGUAGGCGGUCUGUCACGUCGAUUGUGAAAACUUGCAGCUCAACUGCAAGCUUGCAGUCGAUACGGGCAGACUAGAGUACUGCAGGGGAGACUGGAAUUC
rnacentral:rRNA from 1 species